CCUUUUCCAAUAUAUAUCACCAAUUUCAAACUUGUAAAGAUCUAUGGAGUCUUGCCAUUUGCAGACUACCAUCCCGUCAAAUAAAUUUGAGCCUAUUAUCCAAUUGUUUGCACUCUUAUUUGUUUCUAUUCAACAAAUGUUUUACAUGCUUUAAUUGAGAAAAUGUCAUUGUUUUGAAUAAACGAAUUUUUCAUAACUUG
rnacentral:lncRNA from 1 species